rnacentral:rRNA from 1 species
GAUGAACGCUGGCGGCGUGCUUAACACAUGCAAGUCGAACGAUGAAGCCCAGCUUGCUGGGUGGAUUAGUGGCGAACGGGUGAGUAACACGUGAGUAACCUGCCCUUCAUUCUGGGAUAAGCCUGGUAAACUGGGUCUAAUACCGGCUAGGUGCGCCUUCCGCAUGGUGGGUGUUGGUAAGAAUUAUCGGUUUUGGUUGGACUCGCGGCCUAUCAGCUUGUUGGUGAGGUAAUGGCUCACAAAGGCGACGACGGGUAGCCGGCCUGAGAGGGUGACCGGCCACACUGGGACUGAGAAACGGCCCAGACUCCUACGGGAGGCAGCAGUGGGGAAUAGUGCACAAUGGGCGAAAGCCUGAUGCAGCGACGCCGCGUGAGAGAUGACGGCCUGCGGGGUGUAAACCUCUUUCAGUAGGGAAGAAGCGAAAGUGACGGUACCUGCAGAAGAAGCACCGGCUAACUACGUG